CCUACGGGAGGCAGCAGUGAGGAAUAUUGGUCAAUGGACGAGAGUCUGAACCAGCCAAGUAGCGUGAAGGAUGACUGCCCUAUGGGUUGUAAACUUCUUUUAUAUGGGAAUAAAACGUUCCACGUGUGGGAUUUUGUAUGUACCAUAUGAAUAAGGAUCGGCUAACUCCGUGCCAGCAGCCGCGGUAAUACUGAGGAUCCGAGCGUUAUCCGGAUUUAUUGGGUUUAAAGGGAGCGUAGGUGGAUUGUUAAGUCAGUUGUGAAAGUUUGCGGCUCAACCGUAAAAUUGCAGUUGAAACUGGCAGUCUUGAGUACAGUAGAGGUGAGCGGAAUUCGUGGUGUAGCGGUGAAAUGCUUAGAUAUCACGAAGAACUCCGAUUGCGAAGGCAGUUCACUGGACUGCAACUGACACUGAGGCUCGAAAGUGUGGGUAUCAAACAGGAUUAGAUACCCCGGUAGUC
rnacentral:rRNA from 1 species